UACGAAGGGGGCUAGCGUUGCUCGGAAUUACUGGGCGUAAAGGGCUCGUAGGCGGCCAACUAAGUCAGACGUGAAAUCCCUCGGCUUAACCGGGGAACUGCAUCUGAUACUGGAUGGCUUGAGUUCGGGAGAGGGAUGUGGAAUUCCAGGUGUAGCGGUGAAAUGCGUAGAUAUCUGGAGGAACACCGGUGGCGAAGGCGGCAUCCUGGACUGACACUGACGCUGAGGAGCGAAAGCCAGGGGAGCAAACGGG
rnacentral:rRNA from 1 species